rnacentral:piRNA from 1 species
UGGGGACUCCUGGACUUUCAGAAAGUGACU